rnacentral:rRNA from 1 species
UACGGAGGGGGCUAGCGUUGUUCGGAAUUACUGGGCGUAAAGGGCGCGUAGGCGGCUUUGUAAGUUGGAGGUGAAAGCCCGGGGCUCAACUCCGGAAUUGCCUUUAAGACUGCAUCGCUAGAAUUGUGGAGAGGUGAGUGGAAUUCCGAGUGUAGAGGUGAAAUUCGUAGAUAUUCGGAAGAACACCAGUGGCGAAGGCGACUCACUGGACACAUAUUGACGCUGAGGUGCGAAAGCGUGGGGAGCAAACAGG